GACGAACGCUGGCGGCGUGCUUAACACAUGCAAGUCGAGCGGUAAGGCCCUUUCGGGGGUACACGAGCGGCGAACGGGUGAGUAACACGUGGGUGACCUGCCCUCAGCUCUGGGAUAAGCCUGGGAAACCGGGUCUAAUACUGGAUAUGACUCCAUGACGCAUGUUGUGGGGUGGAAAGCCUUGUGCGGCUGAGGAUGGGCCCGCGGCCUAGUCAGCUUGUUGGGGGGUGAUGGCCUACCAAGGCGACGACGGGUAGCCGGCCUGAGAGGGCGACCGGCCACACUGGGACUGAGACACGGCCCAGACUCCUACGGGAGGCAGCAGUGGGGAAUCUUGCGCAAUGGGCGAAAGCCUGACGCAGCGACGCCGCGUGAGGAUGACG
rnacentral:rRNA from 1 species